CUGCGCUUUCAGCUUCUUUACAGUGCUGCCUUGUUGCGUUCAUGUCAAGCAGCAUUGUACAGGGCUAUGAAAGAACAG
rnacentral:pre_miRNA from 1 species